AGUGUGAGCAGGUACGUUGAAUCCGUUCUGCAUUCACUGCACGGGAUCCUCCUUUUUCUUUCCUCCCAAAGUGCCACUCUGUUUUGGCUUCUUUCGUUUUCCAUACAACAGUUUAGCAAAUGAACAGUGACACACAUUAGUAUAAUCAGGGGCAACUUUUUCUUGUAAUGCAAUCUUUAAGGAGAGACCAGGAGCGGGGCAGCCUCAUGCUUGUGCUGCUCGUCCCACAGCUCUCCGCCUCUAAAUUAUUCAUCAUCCAAUCAAUCAUCUUCUCUUUGUUUUGGACCCCAGUGCAGGAGAUGAAACGGCAGACUGCCAGAGCUGUUUUUCUUCAUCUGAGGUCUUCUUGAGAGAUAAUUUUAGAGAGAAACCAUGAGGAGGGGACAUGAAAUAGAUUUGGGAAAAUAGAUGAGGAAACAUCACAGGCCUGACUCGAACCAUGUCACCCAUAGUCGCGUCGACUGAUAGCUUCAAAACGCAGAAGAGUGAGACCUUAUUCAGCCUCCUGCUAGUGCGACAUCAGAGGAGCUGACAUCUAUUAUGAUAUUCACCCGGUGAGUGCCAAACACGUGUAUACACACUUCAGUUGAGGAUGGAGAUCGAGGUGAAAUAUUGCAUGAGGGAAUCGUAGCGAGUGAGCCGGACGUCUGGAGGCAGAUAAAUAGCUUUGGCUGGCGGUUAGGACACAUCAGCCGUAAACAGUACCGGCAGCCAUAAAAAGACGAACAGCUUUAUUUCCCCAGCCCUUGCAGACAGAUCAGUGAGAUGGACACAGCGCUCAGAGUAAAUAAAACAAGCUGACUGGCAGGGCGGUUAGACUGGGAGCAGAAACAUCGCUCCGGGUCCCAUAAUAAUGCCCCGUAGGGCUCACGUCAAGACUCUCCAGUGGGACUGAGCAAGUGCUUUCACCUCCCUGAUUAUCGCUCACCAACUUAACCUGGUAUCCACACUGACACCAAUAAAAACACAAUGUUUGCUUUCUUUUCAGUACGGCUUGCUUGUAUGAUUACAUUACACAUUUAUAAAAUGCAUCAUUCCAGAUUCAAAAAUUUAUCGACGAGCCAUUUUUUAGCAUUUUUUUAUAUAACGCCAUCAUUGACCACCUAUCAGUUCAGUUAACUCAAUUCAAUGCAAUUAUAAACCAGUAAAAA